rnacentral:rRNA from 1 species
UCACGAGGGCCCCCCUGUCUUAAGAGGACUCUCCAUGAAAUUGAAUUCGUAGUGAAGAUGCUACGUCCAUAUUGUAAGACGAAAAGUCCCCAUUGAGCUUUACUAAAGACUUAUAUGGCUCGAAUAACUUAAAUAAAAAGUUUAGAUAAUGUGGGAUCCGUUUUUGGUUAAUGAGACACCACUCUUUUAUUUUAAGAGAACUAACCUUAUAGGGAGAAUGUAAGUUAGAUAGUUUGGUUGGGGCGACCACCUUUUAAAAGGUAACGAAGGUGAGCUUAAGGUCCGUAGUUAAUAGCUAGAGGCCUGACUGCAAGGGGGACAUCCCGAGCAGACACAUCCUUAAGGAUGUGGGUUAUAGUGACCCGUCAUCUUAGAGUGGAAUAGUUGACGAUC